rnacentral:lncRNA from 1 species
UCCAUUCGAUUUAAAUCUUUCAAAAAUCAAAACUAAAAACCUUACCUUACCUUUUUCUACGAUCGAUCAAUAGGGUUUAAAAUCUCUUCAAGCUCUUAUCGGCAAUGCCUGCUGGAUCGCACAACCGUCGUUCGUAACUGGCGACGCUCUGCAAUCACUAGUACUCCGGCUCCGGCGCCGGCACCAUCCCAAGGUUCUACUCUCGGCCUGUAGACCACCGCUCUUUGCCUAGACAGCCUCUCCGGUCUCCGUCUAUCUUGCUGUUGUUCUUGCCCUCGCUUGAGUCUUGACUCUUCUAAUCGAUUUAGGUUUUCACCUUCACUGAAUUUUCUUUAAUUAAGUAUAAGAUUUUCAUUUUCUAUUUUCUUUUUUUUAUUAUUUAGUUGUCAAAUGUGCAGAAAAUACGGCCUAGGGUGAGCAUUUGGACCGGAUCGGUCGGUUUUUACCGUGUUUAGAACCGAUUGGACAUUGAAUCUGUGACGUUUUUUAAACACCCAUAGCUUAUUUGUUUUAAGUCGGAUUGACCUCUGGUUUUUUCCAACAUUUAGUUUAAAGUUUGUAGAUGAAUUUAUACUAUAAUUUUGUUUAUUUUGGUAUUGUAUUCACUGAGUUACAAUCCUUUAAAUUAGAUCUAUCAAAGCUGAAAAAAUUCAGCUUUUUAGCAAGAUUUUGUAAUAUAUGACGUUUUUUAAAACUCAUAACUCAUUCAUUUUAAGUCGGAUUGACCUCCGUUUUUUUCCAAAAUUUAGUUUAUAGUUUGUAAAUUAAUUUAGACUAUAAUUUUUAUUUUUUUUUUAUUUUGGUAUUAUAUUCAUUGAGUUACAAUCCUUUAAAGUAGAGUUAUCAAAGCUGAAAAAAUUCAGUUUUUAAGUGAAAGAUUAGAUUAUGAGUUUAUGAACUUUGUUAGUUUGAUUGAUUUUAAAAUUUAAACUAUGAUUUUUGUUGUUACGGUAAUACUUUUAUAUCUUUGUCUUAAAAUUGUAUAAUUUUUGUUGGUGAACUUGAUUUAUAUGUUAGUUGUUUUUAUUUGGAAAAUUAAUUUUUGCAAGUUAUAAUCUUAUACAUCAAUGUAUAUUAGUUAUGUAUGAAACGGAAACGUAUUAAUUUUGCAAGUUAUAAUAUUAUACAUCAAUGUAGAUUACUUAUACUCUAUGCAAUUAAAGUUAUACCGGUCCAAACGGGUUCAAAAACCGAAAAACCCGGACCUGGACCCGGACACGGACACGACUCAUAUGGUUCGGUCCAUGGUCCACAAAAUUCUCCAUAACUGGUCCGGUCCAAAAGCCGGUCCGGUCCGGUCCAAAUGCUCAUCCCUAUUACAGCGUACCUUUUGCUUUACUUUGCUUGUGAAAUUUUCAAUCGAUAGUUACUAGUUUUCUGUCACUUUAUUGUACAUUUGCUAUUUAAUUUUUUUCGAUUUGUUGCUUUUUAAUGUAUGAUAAAAAAAAAAAAAAAAAAAAACUCAUAUAGAGAGAUAUUUAAUUAUCUAUGUUGGGGCACUUAAUGAAUGGUUUUUAAAAUCUGUAAGUCAUAUAAAACAUAAUUUAAUCUCAUAAUGAAAUUAUAUUUUUUAGUUUUAGCUUGACGACAAAGGUUGAUUUUUAAUAGUUUGACACUCAAAUAACUAUUAAAAUAGAAUUUUAAAAUUAACCGUUAUCCAAUGAUUGAUAUUGAAGCUUGGCCGCUUGAGGAGAAAUUUUUAGGGUUUUAGACGGUCAACCAUUAUUUUGAUAAACCAUUAUUUUAUAUUAGC